CCUACGGGGGGCUGCAGUCGAGAAUUUUUCACAAUGGGGGAAACCCUGAUGGAGCGACGCCGCGUGGGGGAUGAAGGGCUUCGGCUCGUAAACCCCUGUCAUUUGCGAACAAAGUUCACCGGUGAAUAGCCGGUGAAUUGAUAGUAGUGAAAGAGGAAGGGACGGCUAACUCUGUGCCAGCAGCCGCGGUAAUACAGAGGUCCCAAGCGUUGUUCGGAUUCACUGGGCGUAAAGGGUGCGUAGGCGGUGGCGAAAGUCUGAUGUGAAAGCUCGGAGCUCAACUCCGAAAUGGCAUUGGAAACUACGUCGCUGGAGGCUUGGAGGGGGGACUGGAAUACUUGGUGUAGCAGUGAAAUGCGUAGAUAUCAAGUGGAACACCUGUGGCGAAGGCGAGUCCCUGGACAAGACCUGACGCUGAGGCACGAAAGCUAGGGGAGCAA
rnacentral:rRNA from 1 species